rnacentral:rRNA from 1 species
GGGCAUAAAGCGUGCGUAGGCGGGCGGUAUAAGUCAGUGGUGAAAUCCUGGAGCUUAACUCCAGAACUGCCAUUGAUACGUAUAUGUCUUGAAAUAUGGCGGAGGUAAGCGGAAUAUGUCAUGUAGCGGUGAAAUGCAUAGAUAUGACAUAGAACACCUAUUGCGAAGGCAGCUUACUACGCCUAUAUUGACGCUGAGGCGACGAAAGCGUGGGGAUCGAAACAGGAUUAGAUACCCUGGUAGUCCACGCCCUAAACGAAUGAUUACUCGACGUGUGCGAUAAACGGUACGCGUCUGAGCGAAAGCAUUAAGUAAUCCACCUGGGAAGUACGACCGCAAGGUUGAAAACU